rnacentral:rRNA from 1 species
AGGACGAACGCUGGCGGCGCGCUUAACACAUGCAAGUCGUACGGGAUCAGGGCUUCGGCUCUGGUUUAGUGGCGAACGGGUGCGUAACACGUGAGCAAUCUGCCUUGGGGUGGGGGAUAACCCGUGGAAACGCGGGCUAAUACCGCAUGUCGUCACGAUCCCGCAUGGGGAUGUGACGAAAGGGGCUUAACGGCCCUGCCCUGAGAGGAGCUCGCGGCGUAUCAGCUAGCUGGUGGGGUAACGGCCUACCAGGGCAACGACGCGUAGCCGAUCUGAGAGGAUGAUCGGCCACAUUGGGACUGAGAUACGGCCCAGACUCCUACGGGAGCAGCAGUGGGGAAUCGUUGCGCAAGUGGGACAAAGCCUGACGCAGCGACGCCGCGUGGGGGAGAGCUC